AAAAAACAAAAUAGCAUUUUUGGCUAAUUCCGAUUUCCAAGCACCCAUUUCCAUUUUUUUUCCUUCUCCUCUCUUACAAACAAAAACAAGCGGCACCACUUGUCCCCUUCUCCCUAUUCUUAUCAGCAGCGGCGGCCGAACAAAAAUCCACCAACCUUCUUCUCGUUCAUCGUCGCUUCUCCCGCUCAACACCUCCUCCUCUUCCAUUAAUGGCGUCUUCUCUCACCAGCCUCGUACUCCUAAACCCUCUCUCUCUCUCUCCUCCCC
rnacentral:lncRNA from 1 species